AGGGCCGGCAGGCAGCAGCGGCAGGCGGCAGGCAGGCGCGCUGCCUGCC
rnacentral:SRP_RNA from 1 species